AGCCGGAUGACUGUCAAUCAUUCUGACGUCAUCCGCGCGGGGUAUUUAAAUCCAGCAAGAGCCUGACACAUCCAGGUGCCUUUGCUGAGUGCUAACUAGGACGGACGCCCAGUGUGGCCGCACGCCAUUGCAUCUCCUGGGAUUUCUCUGUGUUUCAUCACAGUCACAGCAUAAUCCUCAUCACUGCCGCAGUGCCAUCUAGUGGCAGUAUUUGAGUUGACCCUUAUCCUAGUCUCCAAUUCUCUGUUCCAAUUCAGUUAGGAGAGGACCUUUGCGGACAUUUUGCCAUCUGUUGUCCUUACAUUGCCUCUAACAUUGUGCGCUUUUUGGUCCCCUGAACUGUUCCAUUCACGUUUAGGUCUUCAUACUUUUUACAAGAUACCCCGACUAGUUCUAACUUGCCCAAUGAUGUAUGGUGAAUGUGGGUAUGACCUAUAGUACCAGACUCCACCUUAUAAGGUAAAUGGUCUGAUUAUAAUUUGCAUCUUGGACGCUGUUGAGCACUCUUCAAAUCUACAAAAGCACCGUUUAUCGAAGCUCCCGAAGAAGCGACGACGUCGCGAAACAUGUCGAGCUGAACCCCAUUUUUAACCAGAACUCAUCCUGUACCAUCUUUUUGAAGUUACAACGCCACCCAGCGCCUAUAGUGUAUUCUAUACAUCUAGCCCUGUGGCUAAUAGCGGUGUCUUUAGAAAGUGAUAGGAUUUGAGCUCUUUUGUGUACUUUAUUGUUCAUUUUGUUCUUUUUUCUUAUUAUUUUGAGCAAUUGUCUUGUAUACCCAUGUUUUGUAUUGUCUA